UGGGGAAUCUUGCGCAAUGGGGGCAACCCUGACGCAGCGACGCCGCGUGUGUGACGAAGGCCUUCGGGUCGUAAAGCACUGUCAGGUGGGAAGAAGGCGUAGUCGGCCUCGGUCGGCUGCGUUGACGGUACCGCCGAAGGAAGCACCGGCCAACUCCGUGCCAGCAGCCGCGGUAAGACGGAGGGUGCAAGCGUUGUUCGGAAUCAUUGGGCGUACAGGGUGCGCAGGCGGCCCGGCAAGUCCGAUGUGAAAGCCCGGGGCUCAACUCCGGAAUCGCAUUGGAAACUGUCGGGCUUGAGUCCGAGAGGGGCCAGUGGAAUUCCUGGUGUAGGGGUGAAAUCCGUAGAGAUCAGGAGGAACACCGGCGGCGAAAGCGACUGGCUGGAUCGGGACUGACGCUGAGGCACGAGAGCGUGGGCAGCGAACA
rnacentral:rRNA from 1 species